GAAAAAGGAUUUACACAUGGUCUUUAUAGAUUUGGAAAAAGCGUAUGAUAGGGUCCCAAGAGACAUUCUUUGGAGGAUUUUAGAGAAGAAAGGAGUACGAGUAGCAUAUAUCCAAGCUAUAAAGGAUAUGUAUGAAGGAGCAAAGACUGCCAUAAGAACUCAUGAAGGACAAACCGAAAGCUUCCCCAUAACUGUAGGAUUACAUCAAGGCUCAUCCUUAAGUCCUUACCUUUUUGCGUUGGUAAUGGAUGAGUUAACAGGACAUAUUCAAGAUGAUAUUCCUUGGUGAAUGCUUUUCGCUGACGAUAUAGUGUUGAUAGAUGAAACUCAGGAAGGUGUAAAUGCGAAGCUUAACCUUUGGAGAGAAGUGUUGGAAUCUAAAGGUCUUCGCCUAAGCCGAUCAAAGACAGAAUAUAUGGAGUGCAAGUUCAGUGCAAAUGGAGGCCAAAAUGAGUUAGGGGUGAGGAUCGGAGAUCAGGAAAUACCAAAGAGCGACCGUUUUCGCUACCUAGGAUCUAUCUUACAAAAGAACGGAGAAUUAGAUGGAGAUCUCAACCAUAGAAUACAAGCUGGAUGGAUGAAGUGGAAGAGUGCAUCCGGCGUGUUGUGUGAUCGUCGUAUGCCACUGAAGCUUAAGGGAAAAUUUUAUAGGACGACAAUAAGGCCGGCGAUGCUGUAUGGCACAGAAUGUUGGGCGGUGAAGCACCAACACGUACACAAAAUGGGUGUAGCGGAGAUGAGGAUGCUUCGUUGGAUGUGUGGGCACACGAGAAAGGAUAAGAUUAGGAAUGAGGAUAUCCGAGGUAAAGUAGGAGUAGCCGAAAUUGAAGGAAAACUGAGAGAAAAUCGGUUACGGUGGUUUGGACAUGUGCAAAGAAGGCCUACUGACGCUCCGGUUAGAAGAUGCGACUACGGGACAGAGGUUCAGGGCCGAAGGGGUAGAGGAAGACCUAGGAAAACUUUGGAAGAGACUCUAAGAAAAGACUUAGAGUACUUGGAUCUAACGGAGGAGGAUACAUGACACAGGAUCGAGCACAAUGGCGUUCUAAGAUUCAUAUAGCCGACCUGACUCGGUGACUUGGAUUUUUCAAGUCUCCAAUCGAGAAGUUUUCCCCACCCGGGAAAUUAAGGGAACACUACCUCAACCUACAUGCUCCACUCACAAAGCUUCAACAUACAAGCUUCAACAAAAGAAAAAUUCAAAGAACUUAGUGAAGAAGGCUUUGGUGUAUUUAACACAAUACGUUGAAAUGAAACAAAGCUUAUUUAUUGAUAUCUCUAAGAAGUUACAAAUAUGUACAUAUACACGAGUCAAAAUAAACAAACAAGAGGGAGCCUUCACAAAGGUUGCUUAGGAGAAGUCUCAGCAGUCGGCAGAGCCCCAGAAAGAGAAGGCACCGGAGGGGGAUCAUUCGGAGCCUCAGUACUGGACAGCACCCUAGAAGGAGGAGGCAUCGGAGGAUGAUCAUUUGGAGCUUCAUUACGCGGUACAGCCCCAGAAGACGAAGGCAAUAAAUGCCUUUGGAACAAACCCACAAACCUCUGAUGAUCAUGUAAAAUCUGACCAUCAGAUUCCUUCAUCUGGUCAAGCUUCCUCUUCAUGUUUGUAGCAUAGUCAUGAGCGAGCCGGUGCAACUGUUUAUUCUCAUGCUUGAGCCCUCUAAUCUCCUGUUUGAGACUCAUCACUUCAGCCGCCAAUGAUUCAACUUGGCGGGUUCGAGCAAAUAGGCGUUGGGCCAUAUUAGACACAGAACCUGCACACUGAACACUGAGAGCCAGAGAAUCCUUAACAGCCAACUCAUCAGACCGUUUGGAAAGUAGUCUGUUAUCUUUGGGAGUAAGAAGGUUCCUGCCCACCACCGCAGCGGUCAUACAUUCUUCAUCACGGAAUCCCCAACGGUAAGAGGUCCAGUAGGGGAUACGAAUGAUGGGUGCCAUAUGUUGUCUGGAGAAGGCGUGGCUGCCUCUUCAACAAGGUUCAAGUCAAAACGACGGUCGGAGGGGCCAGACAUUUUCAAAGGUGUUGAAGAGAAAAGAAGUCGGAUCAAGAUCUUAGAAAUGCAAGGAGGGAGCUUCUACUGGUGGAGAUUCAAGUGUGCUUUGGAACUUAAUACCAGCCUCUAUAAAAAUCCGCACUCGAUGGAGCUUCAGAAAUCGAAGAGGCGCCUGUUCAGAAAUCGAAAAGGAGUUUGCUUUCUCAAAAGCUAGGCUGCUCAGAGACCACGAGGGCCGAUCUCAGGAAUCGAAGAGGCGUUUGCUUUCUCAAAAGCUGGGCUGCUCAAAGACCACGAAGGUCGAUCACAAAAAUCGAAAAGGCGCUUGCUUUCUCAAAAGCUGGGCUGCUCAGAGACCACGAGGGUCGAUCUCAGAAAUCGAAAAGGCACCUGCUUUUUCAGCCUUGUCAGCACCUGUCACAUGCACACUUAACUUUGCGGAAAUUACGGGCAUUCUUUCGAAGAUUUCUAGUGAAGUAGAAAGCAUGUGAAUGUUACUGUUCAAUCAUUCACUUUCCACGCGCAACAUCAGCUCACGGGUACCACAGAUAACUUUGCAAAACAUCUCUGACAAAGUUUAGACACGUGAAGCUUGCAGCUCCCAUUACAUUGCUAUAACCAAGAAGGGUAAAAGAAUAGCAAAGAAACAGCACUAACAAAGUUUAGACACAUAAAUUUUGAAGGUCUAGCUACCAUAAUAUUACCCAUAAGGGUAAAUGAAUAGGACCAUUGCUGGAUAAUUGGAAAGUCCCUGUGGGUCAACCUCUGUGCUCCGUGGCAAGGUAGACUAGCAAACAGGCCUAACCUUUACUCACAUUCGAGAAAACACUCCCAACAAGAUUGCUUGCUUCAAGAUCGAAGAGGCACCGUCCUCCGAAUCUCGAGAGCCAGACUCCCAACACGAUUACUUUCUCAAAAAGCGACGAGACACUGCUCUCUGAAUCUCGAGAGCCAGACUCCUAGCAGGAUUGCUUUCUCAAAAAUCGAAGAGGCACCGUUCUCCGAAUCUCGAGAGACAGAUCCCCGACAGGAUUGCUUGUUCGAAAACCGAAGAGGCACCGCUUUCUCAUCUUUGAGAGCCCCUUAGAUAAAGCUUGUCUGUAAUCCUCACACCGCUUUCUCAACUUCGAGAGCCAGAUCUCCUUGGAUAAAGCUUGUCUGUAAUCUUCGCACGUAACAUCAGCUUUCCAGAUACCACAGACCACUUUUUCAAAGUGCUCUGACAGAGUUAAAACACGUGAAGCUGGCAGCUCCCACUACCGUGCUAUGACCAAGUAGGGUAAAAGAAUAGUAUUACUCCUUGUUAGGGAGACUCCUAUAUAUGUCGACCUCCAUCCUCAAAGGACAGGCAGACCUGCAAAAAUGCUCAACCCUUCCUCAUAUCUGAGAGGGCACUCCCAACGAAGCCUCUCGAAAUACUCAGCUUUCUUUCCCCCCGAGAAUACCUCUGCAAACAAGCUACACUAGAGCAAGAAUAUCUCAUAUCAUCAGGGUUAAAAGCAAGAGUAUCCCAUAUCAUGCUUUUUUCCUGUCUUUUCCUUUGGCCUUGUUCUUACCUGCAAGACAAGGAGAAAGAGAGCAAUCAGUCAGCACUUGGAAUCAAGCUUCCAGUCCGGAACUGACUGCCUGGAACCCCAUUGCUCUUGAGUACUCAUCUUCAACAUCUUAUGCUUCCCGAGAAGAUACCACAUUUGCCUGAGGAACAAAUAAGGCAAAUGAGAAGGAUACAAGGAAGCAUGUGGAGACAAGCGCAACAGAACACGUGCCGAUACAUCCACUACUUUGUCAACAGCAAAAGUAUCCCAUAUCAGCAGGGUCGAACGUACUCUAGAUUUGAUGGACUUGUUUUGACCCUCAAAUUCUUCAGUCGGCCUUAUACUCUGGUGGAAACAAGAAAACCCUCCAGCCCAGUUCAAGAAUAAGCCUGUGGAAAGUUACUUCUUCAAAAGCAAAAGUAUCUCAUAUCACCUUUUCUCAUUUUCUUCUCUUUAUCCUUCAUGCUACCUGCAAGAUAAGGAGAAGGAUAACAAUCAGCCGGAACUCGAAAUCAAAACUUCUGAUCUGGGACUGAUUGCUUGGAGCUCUGAUUGCUUACUUUGUCUGUCACCUCUUUCAGCAGAUCCCCUAGCUCGGCGACUUGGGGGACUCCUACUACAUGGUUUGUAUCGCGCUUGACCAAGCCUGAAACUACAAGUAAGCGUCAAGUGAAAUUGAUACAUUACCUUGUGCAUCUCCACCAGUUAAAGAUACCACCCCUGAAGGGAGGAAGAGUACUUCCAAAGAAGAUGCCACAUCUACCUAUGAGACAGAUAAGGCAAGUGAAGACGAUACCACACUUCGGUACUUAAAAGUUUCGUGAUUACGAGAUCAUUCUUCCACAAUAUUUCCUAAUGUCAUUUGUACUAAAUCAUUCACUUGUACUCACUAAAUGAGAGCUUGAACCUAUAUACUGUGUAAACCCUUCACAAUUAAUGAGAACUCCUUUACUCCGUGGACGUAGCCAAUCUGGGUGAACCACGUACAUCUUGUGUUUGCUUCCUGUCUCUAUCCAUUUACAUACUUAUCCACACUAAUGACCGGAGCAAUCUAGCGAAGAUCACAAACUUAAUAUUUAAGAUGAUAUUUUUUGGUGUAUGCUUUUCGCAAACGAUAUAGUGUUGAUAGAUGAAACGCAGGAAGGGGUAAACGCGAAGCUUAACCUUUGGAGAGAAGUGUUGGAAUCUAAAGGUCCUCGCCUAAGCCGAUCAAAGACAGAAUAUAUGGAGUGCAAGUUCAGUGCAAACGGAGGCCAAAAUGAGUUAGGGGUGAGGAUCGGAGAUCAGGAAAUACCAAAGAGCGACCGUUUUCGCUACCUAGGAUCUAUCUUGCAAAAGAACGGAGAAUUUGAUGGAGAUCUCACCCAUAGAAUACAAGCUGGAUGGAUGAAGUGGAAGAGUGCAUCCGGCGUGUUGUGUGACCGUCGUAGGCCACUGAAGCUCAAGGGAAAAUUUUAUAGGACGGCAAUAAGGCCGGCAAUGCUGUAUGGCAUAGAAUGUUGGGCGGUGAAGCAUCAACACGUAGGUGUAGUGGAGAUGAGGAUGCUUCGUUGGAUGUGUGGGCAC
rnacentral:lncRNA from 1 species